rnacentral:rRNA from 1 species
GAUUCAUAAUAACUUCUCGAAUCGCACGGCCUUGCGCUGGCGAUGGUUCAUUCAAAUUUCUGCCCUAUCAACUUUCGACGGCUGGGUCUUGGCCAGCCAUGGUGACAACGGGUAACGGAGGGUUAGGGCUCGACCCCGGAGAAGGAGCCUGAGAAACGGCUACUACAUCCAAGGAAGGCAGCAGGCGCGCAAAUUACCCAAUCCCGACACGGGGAGGUAGUGACAAUAAAUACUGAUACAGGGCUCUUUUGGGUCUUGUAAUUGGAAUGAGUACAAUUUAAAUCCCUUAACGAGGAACAAUUGGAGGGCAAGUCUGGUGCCAGCAGCCGCGGUAAUUCCAGCUCCAAUAGCGUAUAUUAAAGUUGUUGAGGUUAAAAAGCUCGUAGUUGAACCUUGGGCCUAGCCGGCCGGUCCGCCUCACCGCGUGCACUGGCUCGGCUGGGCCUUUCCUUCUGGAGAACCUCAUGCCCUUCACUGGGCGUGUUGGGGAACCAGGACUUUUAC